rnacentral:rRNA from 1 species
CCUACGGGGUGCUGCAGUGGGGAAUAUUGCACAAUGGGGGAAACCCUGAUGCAGCGACGCCGCGUGAGUGAAGAAGUAUCUCGGUACGUAAAGCUCUAUCAGCAGGGAAGAAAAUGACGGUACCUGACUAAGAAGCCCCGGCUAACUACGUGCCAGCAGCCGCGGUAAUACGUAGGGGGCAAGCGUUAUCCGGAUUUACUGGGUGUAAAGGGAGCGUAGACGGCAGCACAAGUCUGAAGUGAAAGCCCGGGGCUUAACCCUGGAACUGCUUUGGAAACUGUGCGGCUGGAGUGCUGGAGGGGUAAGCGGAAUUCCUAGUGUAGCGGUGAAAUGCGUAGAUAUUAGGAAGAACACCGGUGGCGAAGGCGGCUUACUGGACUGUAACUGACGUUGAGGCUCGAAAGCGUGGGGAGCAAACAGGAUUAGAUACCCGAGUAGUC